rnacentral:rRNA from 1 species
UGGGGAAUAUUGGACAAUGGGCGAAAGCCUGAUCCAGCCAUGCCGCGUGUGUGAAGAAGGUCUUCGGAUUGUAAAGCACUUUAAGUUGGGAGGAAGGGCAUUAACCUAAUACGUUAGUGUUUUGACGUUACCGACAGAAUAAGCACCGGCUAACUCUGUGCCAGCAGCCGCGGUAAUACAGAGGGUGCAAGCGUUAGUCGGAAUUACUGGGCGUAAAGCGCGCGUAGGUGGUUUGUUAAGUUGGAUGUGAAAUCCCCGGGCUCAACCUGGGAACUGCAUUCAAAACUGACUGACUAGAGUAUGGUAGAGGGUGGUGGAAUUUCCUGUGUAGCGGUGAAAUGCGUAGAUAUAGGAAGGAACACCAGUGGCGAAGGCGACCACCUGGACUAAUACUGACACUGAGGUGCGAAAGCGUGGGGAGCAAACA